rnacentral:rRNA from 1 species
UACGAAGGGGGCUAGCGUUGCUCGGAAUCACUGGGCGUAAAGGGUGCGUAGGCGGGUCUUUAAGUCAGGGGUGAAAUCCUGGAGCUCAACUCCAGAACUGCCUUUGAUACUGAGGAUCUUGAGUUCGGGAGAGGUGAGUGGAACUGCGAGUGUAGAGGUGAAAUUCGUAGAUAUUCGCAAGAACACCAGUGGCGAAGGCGGCUCACUGGCCCGAUACUGACGCUGAGACGCGAAAGCGCGGGGAGCAAACAGG